rnacentral:rRNA from 1 species
GAGUUUGAUCCUGGCUCAGAACGAACGCUGGCGGCAGGCUUAACACAUGCAAGUCGAACGCCCGCAAGGGGAGUGGCAGCGGGUGAGUAACGCGUGGGAACAUACCCUUUCCUGCGGAAUAGCUCCGGGAAACUGGAAUUAAUCCCGCAUACGCCCUACGGGGGGAAAGAUUUAUCGGGGAAGGAUUGGCCCGCGUUGGAUUAGCUAGUUGGUGGGGUAAAGGCCCACCAAGGCGACGCUCAAGGGUGGUCUGAAAGGAUGAUCAGCCACAUUGGGACUGAGACACGGCCCAAACUCCUACGGGAGGCAGCAGUGGGGAAUAUUGGACAAUGGGCGCAAGCCUGAUCCAGCCAUGCCGCGUGAGUGAUGAAGGGUUUAGGGUUGUAAAAGUAGAAUCACCGAUGAAGAUAAUGGCGG